GUAGCUUACUAAAUAAAGCGCCUCGCUUACACCGAGUAGAAGUCUGUUUAACCCAGAUCAUUUUGAGCCCAAAACCAAGCCUAAUCUUACCUGCAUACACCCUAUACCCACCCACACAAUGAAUUGAUAAAACAUUUUAACUAUUUAGUAGAGGUGAUCAAAAAAUAAAUUAGAGCCUCAUAAGAAGUACCGCAAGGGAAUGGUGAAAUAAAUAUGAAAUAGCUUUAAAGCGUACUAUAGCAGAGUAAUCCCCUCGUACCUUUUGCAUCAUGGUUUAGCCAGUCUUUAUCAAGCAAAGCGAGACACAAGUUUGAUCCCCCGAAACUGGGCGAGCUACUUCGAAACAGCUUUUAGAGCCAACCCGUCUCUGUUGCAAAAGAGUGGGAUGAUUUCCAAGUAGUGGUGAUAAGCCUAUCGAGCCCAGAGAUAGCUGGUUAUUCAGAAAAAGAAUAUUAGUUCUACCUUAAGCUUAAUAAUUAUAACAAAAAUAACUGUAAACUUAAGAGUUAUUCAAAUAAGGCACAGCUUGUUUGAAAAAGGACACAACCUAGAAUAAUGGGUAAGUAACCCCCUAUACGACGCUAAGUGGGCCUGAAAGCAGCCACCUUUAAAAAAGCGUUAAAGCUUAGUUCUUCUUCCAAUUUAUAAUUCCUUCAUUAUAUACGAACCCUCAACCAAAACUGAAUAAUCCUAUAAUUAUAUAGGAGAUAUAAUGCUAAAACUAGUAACAAGAAGAAGACCUUCUCCAAAAUGCAAGCAAAACCCAACUUAGACUAACUAUUGGCUAUUAACGCCUAUGACCUUAAUAUAGUAACUGACCCUAGCAAACCCUAUACACUACGACGUUAACCUUACACAAGAGCAUUCCUGGAAAGAUUAAAAGAAAAAGAAGGAACUCGGCAAAUUCAGGCCUCGCCUGUUUACCAAAAACAUCGCCUCUUGUUUUUUCAUAAGAGGUCCAGCCUGCCCAGUGACACAAUUAAACGGCCGCGGUACCCUGACCGUGCGAAGGUAGCAUAAUAACUUGUUCUUUAAAUGGGGAUUAGCAUGAACGGCACCACGAAGGCCUCACUGUCUCCUUUUUCCAAUCAGUGAAACUGAUCUCCCCGUGAAGAAGCGGGGAUAAUAAUAUAAGACGAGAAGACCCCAUGGAGCUUUAAACCCAAUGAGCAACCCUAAUCAACACAACUCAUCUAAAUUCUUUCUCCCCUGCUUUUUGGUUUUAGGUUGGGGUGACCACGGAGUAAAACAUAUCCUCCACGACGUACGGGAUUAACCCUUAUCCAAGAGCCACCGCUCUAAGAAUCGACAAAUUGACGUUUUUUGAUCCAAUAUAUUGAUCAACGAACCAAGUUACCAUGGGGAUAACAGCGCAAUCCAUUUUUAGAGCCCCUAUCGACGAACGGGUUUACGACCUCGAUGUUGGAUCAGGGUACCCAAGUGGUGCAGCCG
rnacentral:rRNA from 1 species